UACGUAGGGUGCAAGCGUUGUCCGGAAUUAUUGGGCGUAAAGCGCGCGUAGGCGGCUCGGAAAGUCGGUCGUGAAAUGCCGGGGCUCAACCCCGGGACUGCGUCCGAUACUUCCGAGCUGGAGGCAGGUAGGGGAGAUCGGAAUUCCUGGUGUAGCGGCGAAAUGCGCAGAUAUCAGGAGGAACACCGGUGGCGAAGGCGGAUCUCUGGGCCUUGCCUGACGCUGAGGCGCGAAAGCUAGGGGAGCGAACAGG
rnacentral:rRNA from 1 species